AUCGCUUCUCGGCCUUUUGGCUAAGAUCAAGUGUAGCAUAUAUAUGAAAACAUUUGCUUACAAUCCUAUUCCCUAGAAAUAUAUUGGUAUACAUACUAUAGAGUCCACUUUUUGCUAGCUUCAGAGAUAAAUUUUCCUUAAGAAUUUCCUCUGUAUUCUGUGCUUUCUCUCUGAUUAUUGGGUUUAGCCGUAGGCUGACU
rfam:Fukomys damarensis contig109553, whole genome shotgun sequence.